UACGAACUGCGCGAACGUUAUUCGGAAUCACUGGGCUUAAAGGGUGCGUAGGCGGCCUGUUAAGUAGGGUGUGAAAUUUGUCGGCUCAACCGGCAAACUGCAUUCUAAACUGGCAGGCUUGAGUGAGUCAGGGGUGUGCGGAACUUCCGGUGGAGCGGUGAAAUGCGUUGAUAUCGGAAGGAACGCCGGUGGCGAAAGCGGCACACUGGGGCUUUUCUGACGCUGAGGCACGAAAGCUAGGGGAGCGAAC
rnacentral:rRNA from 1 species